GACGAACGCUGGCGGCGUGCUUAACACAUGCAAGUCGAACGGAAAGGCCCUGCUUUUGUGGGGUGCUCGAGUGGCGAACGGGUGAGUAACACGUGAGUAACCUGCCCUUGACUUUGGGAUAACUUCAGGAAACUGGGGCUAAUACCGGAUAGGAGCUCCUGCUGCAUGGUGGGGGUCGGAAAGUUUCGGCGGUUGGGGAUGGACUCGCGGCUUAUCAGCUUGUUGGUGGGGUAGUGGCUUACCAAGGCUUUGACGGGUAGCCGGCCUGAGAGGGUGACCGGCCACAUUGGGACUGAGAUACGGCCCAGACUCCUACGGGAGGCAGCAGUGGGGAAUAUUGCACAAUGGGCGGAAGCCUGAUGCGGCAACGCCGCGUGCGGGAUGACGGCCUUCGGGUUGUAAACCGCUUUCGCCUGUGACGAAGCGUGAGUGACGGUAAUGGGUAAAGAAGCACCGGCUAACUACGUG
rnacentral:rRNA from 1 species